GACCCCGCACAAGCGGUGGAUCAUGUUGUUUAAUUCGAAGAUACGCGAAGAACCUUACCAGGUCUUGACAUCCCUCGCAAAGCUAUAGAGAUAUAGUGGAGGUUAUCGGGGUGACAGGUGGUGCAUGGUUGUCGUCAGCUCGUGUCGUGAGAUGUUGGGUUAAGUCCCGCAACGAGCGCAACCCUUAUUGCUAGUUACCAUCAUUAAGUUGGGGACUCUAGCGAGACUGCCAGUGACAAACUGGAGGAAGGUGGGGAUGACGUCAAAUCAUCAUGCCCCUUAUGACCUGGGCUACAAACGUGAUACAAUGGAUGAAACAAAGGGCAGCAAGCUGGUGACAGUAAGCGAAACUCAUAAAAGCAUUCUCAGUUCGGAUUGAAGUCUGCAACUCGACUUCAUGAAGCCGGAAUCGCUAGUAAUCGCGAAUCAGAAUGUCGCGGUGAAUACGUUCUCGGGGUUU
rnacentral:rRNA from 1 species